rnacentral:rRNA from 1 species
CCUACGGGAGGCAGCAGUGGGGAAUAUUGCGCAAUGGGCGAAAGCCUGACGCAGCGACGCCGCGUGGGUGAUGAAGGCCUUCGGGUCGUAAAGCCCUGUCAGGAGGGACGAAACCUCGGUGACCGAAUACGUCGCCGACCUGACGGUACCUCCGAAGGAAGCACCGGCUAACUCCGUGCCAGCAGCCGCGGUAAUACGGAGGGUGCGAGCGUUGUUCGGAAUCACUGGGCGUAAAGCGCGUGUAGGCGGCUCUCUAAGUCUGGUGUGAAAGCCCGGGGCUUACCCCCGGAACUGCGCUGGAAACUGGAAAGCUCGAGUACCGGAGAGGAGGGUGGAAUUCCUGGUGUAGCGGUGAAAUGCGUAGAUAUCAGGAGGAACACCGGUGGCGAAGGCGGCCCUCUGGACGGAUACUGACGCUGAGACGCGAAAGCGUGGGGAGCAAACAGGAUUAGAUACCCUGGUAGUCCACGCUGUAAACGAUAGGCACUAGGUGUUCGGGGGUAUUGACCCCCCUGAGUGCCGCAGCUAAACGCAUUAAGUGCCCCCGCCUGGGGGACUACGGGCCGCAAGGUUAAAAACUCAAAAGGAAUUUGACGG